AUUGAACGCUGGCGGCAGGCCUAACACAUGCAAGUCGAACGGUAGCACAGAGAGCUUGCUCUCGGGUGACGAGUGGCGGACGGGUGAGUAACGUCUGGGAAACUGCCCGAUGGAGGGGGAUAACUACUGGAAACGGUAGCUAAUACCGCAUAACGUCGCAAGACCAAAGUGGGGGACCUUCGGGCCUCACACCAUCGGAUGUGCCCAGAUGGGAUUAGCUAGUAGGUGGGGUAAUGGCUCACCUAGGCGACGAUCCCUAGCUGGUCUGAGAGGAUGACCAGGCACACUGGAACUGAGACACGGUCCAGACUCGUGCGGGAGGCAGCAGUGGGGAAUAUUGCACAAUGGGCGCAAGCCUGAUGCAGCAAUGCCGCGUGUAUGAAGAAGGCCUUCGGGUUGUAAAGUACUUUCAGCGGGGAGGAAGGCGGUGAAGUUAAUAGCUUCACCGAUUGACGUUACCCGCAGAAGAAGCACCGGCUAACUCCGUGCCAGCAGCCGCAGUAA
rnacentral:rRNA from 1 species